rnacentral:tRNA from 1 species
UCCUUGGUGGUCUAGUGGCUAGGAUUUGAAGCUUUCACUGCCAUGAUCCCGGGUUCGAUUCCCGGUCAGGGGA